rnacentral:rRNA from 1 species
AUGACAAUACAUCAUCACAUUUUGACUAGUAAAGCAAGGCCAAAGAAAAUAAGAACCACAAGAAUACAUUUGAGAAGAUACCCAACUUCCAUAACUGCUCCCUUGAGUUGGGUUAGCGCCUUCUCGAUGCACUCAUUGUUGAUCUGUGGAGGAGGCACGACGUUGCCUCCUCCUUUCUUCUUCAAGCCAGAAGUCGACGUUGCUUUCUCACACGUAGUAUCGUGCCUUGUUGCUUCUUCACACGUAGUAUCGUGCCUAGACUCUAAUCUAGCAACAAGUGCACUUGUCUCAUCUAAAGCCUCUAGGCUAGCUAAAAGUGCACGAACAUGCACUACAUUUCGCUCUAUCAACAUAUCGAUGUACUCUUCUUCCGAAUACCAAAACUUGCAUCCGUUCUACACAAUAAAACUUAAAGUUAGCACCACUAGUCUAAUUCAAGAGCACAAACCGAAGCUAAAAGAGCACAUACCCCAUCGUUUAAGCACUUGA